rnacentral:rRNA from 1 species
CCCCACCCAUGGGGCCGGACGGGGGGAAAAGACCCGGGCCUACAGGCCCCAGUGAGUAGGAGGGGCGCGGCGGUGUGCGCGGAAGGGACUGGGCGUGAGCCUACCUGGAGCCGCCGUCGGUGCAGAUCUUGGUGGUAGUAGCAAAUACUCGAGCGGCACCCUGGAGGUUUGAUGUGGAGAAGGGUUCCAUGUGAACAGCCUUUGCACAUGGGUCAGUCGAUCCUAAGCUGCAGGAGAAAUCCGGGCUCGGCGAAACAGGCGCUCAGGUAAUUUUUUUGGUUUGUUUCCUUUACAUUGUCGCCUGCCGAACCUAAGCGAGAGGGAAUCCGGUACUGAUUCCGGAACCUGGUCACGGACAACCUCUUCUCUGAAGAGGGUUCUUGGGGUCCUCAUGACCUACACCGUAAGGUGGCUAAACUCGGGGAAGUCGGCCGCCGUCCCGGGCAGAGUUUUCUGUUCUGUAUAAGGGCCUGGAUCCCUGGAAUCGCCUCGCGCGGAGAGAGGGAACUGGUUUGUUUUCAGCCCGAAGAGCCCCGCAGUUCUCGCGGGGUCCGAUUGGAUGGCGGUCGAACCUUGAAAACUCGAGAGAGGGCGUACAAUUUUCUGGUCAGGCC